GCGGCAGCGGCGGCGGCGGGGGCGGAGGCAUGGUCCAGGCCCGGCGGGUACGUCCCGCCGCCUAGUAAGCGCCCGGGCGGCGCGGCCCGGGCCGAGCCAGCACGCUAAGCCAGAGAAGGACGGGGACAAGGCUCUCGGGGACUGAGCGUGCCACCCCAGUGAAAGAGGCAAUGAUUAACCUGGGAGACUGAUGCACAGGUGGAGGAAUUCCAGACAUAGCAGCAGGCUUGUGAAGGGCUUCUGGCUUCGCUUUGGCUGCACCCUGCUCCAGAGGGGCUCCGAGUAAGGAAGCUUCUGGAUCCAUGCAAGUCAUUGCCCCAGUGCUCCUGGAUCGAGGGCCAAUCUCUGCCAUCUGCACCUUCAACUGGGCAGCCCACACUUCCCAGCUUCUUCUCCAUCUCGGGCCCCUGCUGCCUCUUCCCUACUCAAGAUACUGAGCUUCAGAGAGGGUAACAUGCCUGCCAUGGUCACCCAGCAAGGUGGGGCAUGCUUCAGACUAGCUGCUCUUCUCUCCUUCUCCAGACAGACUGCAGUUUUUCAAAAUGGAAAUAUCUUUAUUUUUUAUUUUAAUUUUUUCCCAAAGUAAUACAGACUCUUUGUAAAACAAAAUUAUAUAUGUGUGUAUAUAUGUGUACAAUUCUAUGUGUGUGUAUUUUUCACUUAAUUAUUAUUGUGGACAUCAUUUUAAUGAGUAUAUAAUAGACCAUGAGGUGAAUGUCACAUAAUAU
rnacentral:lncRNA from 1 species